rnacentral:rRNA from 1 species
AUUGAACGCUGGCGGCAGGCCUAACACAUGCAAGUCGAACGGUAACAGAAAGAAGCUUGCUUCUUUGCUGACGAGUGGCGGACGGGUGAGUAAUGUCUGGGAAACUGCCUGAUGGAGGGGGAUAACUACUGGAAACGGUAGCUAAUACCGCAUAACGUCGCAAGACCAAAGAGGGGGACCUUCGGGCCUCUUGCCAUCGGAUGUGCCCAGAUGGGAUUAGCUAGUAGGUGGGGUAACGGCUCACCUAGGCGACGAUCCCUAGCUGGUCUGAGAGGAUGACCAGCCACACUGGAACUGAGACACGGUCCAGACUCCUACGGGAGGCAGCAGUGGGGAAUAUUGCACAAUGGGCGCAAGCCUGAUGCGGCCAUGCCGCGUGUAUGAAGAAGGCCUUCGGGUUGUAAAGUACUUUCAGCGGGGAGGAAGGGAGUAAAGUUAAUACCUUGGCUCAUUGGCGUUACCCGCAGAAGAAGCACCGGCUAACUCCGUG